GCCUGGGUGGCUCAGUCGGUUGAGCGUCCGACUUCAGCUCAGGUCAUGAUCUCACAGUCUGUGGGUUCGAGCCCUGCCUCAGGCU
rnacentral:tRNA from 1 species